ensembl:lincRNA
UGCUACUUGGCGUGUCUUGAUUCUGCAUUAUGUGUUGCUGCAGAUUAUACAAUAUCAACAUCUCCGUGUCGCCAGAGAGGCGUUCGUCCCCAUGCUGUGACAGACAGUGUCAGGCGCUCCCAGAGCAGCAGCAGCUAUUUCCAGUGAACAUGCAGAGAUAACCAAGGAAAUGUCAAGUCUGGCGCCUCUGUGGGAGCUGGACACGCUGAGGAGGAUUAGACUUUCUGUCUGGGACCAGAGCGUGUCAUUUGUGUCCGGACGGCCCGUGUGGCAGAGGGGAGGCCCAGUGGAGGGACUCACUCGAGGCUCCUCCUCAGCAUGCUUUUUACUGUACAGAAGAUACCAGAGGGCACAUAGUAAAGAGUCUGUCCCCUGGGAUAUCUCUUUAUGGAAUCCAAGUAGCCCCUGUCUAAAACCUGAAGCCAAGAUGGUCCCAAAAUUUGUGAUGAGGGAUGUUCAACCUUCACAUACCACACCCAUCCCCCAGGUGAAACAGCGAAGCUUUGGCAUUUUACCACUGCUGUGUCUUCAUGUCACUAUUUCUGCAUUAGCUCUCUCUCUCCUCCCUCUCCCCCUACUCUGGAUAUAUUUUAAAGCGAAUACUAUUUCUUCAUUUUACCCCAGUCUACUUCAAUAAGUAUCUUUUUAAAAAAUAGACAUUUUCUUAAUCACAGUGUAAAUACUGUCUUUCAUUGUGGAUGAAAUUAAUAAUUAUUUGUUACCACAUAAUGGCCAGUCUGUAUCCCAACUCCCUCAUUGGACUAUUUCAUAAAACUUGUUUUAUGUAUGUGUCUAUAUAUCUGUUUGUGGUAAGCUGCAGUGUGAAAUUCAUCUCUUGAUAUGGGUUGCCAUGGAAAAUGCUUUGGAAAUUAAUUGCUGAGAGCUAUUCCUCAGACAAAGGUCUACUAUCUAGAAUAUAUAAAGAACUCAAAAAAUCGGACCCCCAAAUAUAAAGACCCAAUUCAAAAAUGGGCAUCUGAAAUGAACAGACAUUUCUCAGACAAGUAAAAGCAGUAAAUAAACAUAUGAAAAAAUGUUCAACAUCACUGGUCAUUCAAGAGAUGCAGAUGAAAACAACACUGAGAUUCCAUCUCACCCCUGAUAGAAUGGCUGCUUUCAAGAAAUCACACAAUAACAAAUGUUGGCGCGGUUGUGGGGAGAAAGGAACCCUUCCCCAUUGUUGGUGGGAGUGUAUACUGGUGCAACAACUGUGGAAAUAAAUAUGGAGAUACCUCAAAUAACUAGGAUUAUAGGUCCCAUUUGACACAGCUAUACCUCUGCUGGGUAUCUUCCCAAAAUAAUUAAAAGAAUUAUACCACAGUGAUAUAUGCACACCCAUGCCUAUAGUGGCAGCAUUUGUAAUAGCUAAAAGUUGGAAACAGCCCACUUGCCCAUCCUGUGGAAACUGGAUAAAGAUGUAUUUUUUUAAAUAAAAUGGAGUAGUACUCAGCCAUAAAGAACAAGGAACUAGAGACAUUUAUAGCUAAGUGGAUGCACAUUGAGACCAUACUCUUAAGUGAAAUAGUUUCUCUGGUGUGAAAAACUGAAAGUAUAAAUAAGGUUCAAAUUGUAUAACUGAUAAUGUGAAAUAGGAAGAAAAGGGCUAAAAGGGUAGGGGAAGUGGGAGUGGUAGGGGAAAGGGAAGAAGGGAAAAGAAAAAUGAGAAAAGGAAAAACUCGAAACAAAGUCUUUGUAAAUAGGGAGGGGUGGAGAGGGUGAAGGGAGGGCAGGGGAGUGGGGAAAAAAAUAAGAAUCAAGACCUGUCAUGUAGAGGUACAAGAUCCCAAUGGUGAAUGUAACUGUACUGUGUACCUAAAAUGUACCAAUAAACUUAAUGGAAAAAAAGUUCAUUGCUGAGAGCAUUGACAGAUUUUGGUUCAGAAAUGGGACAACUGUGCUUCUUAUGGACAGGUAGUUUCUAUAGAC